CCGGGCGUAGCGCAGAGGCAGGCGCACCGCCCUGCACAGGCGAAACACGUCGGUUCGAAUCCGACCCCCGGGC
rnacentral:tRNA from 1 species